rnacentral:rRNA from 1 species
UACUGGGGGUGCGAGCGUUGUCCGGAAUCACUGGGCGUAAAGGGCGCGUAGGUGGCCUGAUAAGGGUGUGGUGAAAGUCCGUGGCUCAACCCCGGAUCUGCCGUGCCGACUGUCAGGCUAGAGUACUGUAGGGGCAGGCGGAAUUCCGGGUGUAGCGGGGGAAUGCGUAGAGAGCCGGAGGAAGACCGGUGGCGAAGGCGGCCUGCUGGGCAGUUACUGACACUGAGGCGCGACAGCGUGGGGAGCAAACAGG